GUGUUUGCGGAAGUGAACGUCUUGUCUUGUUUUGGUCGCCCCCUUUUCUGUAAAAAUAAAUCAAAACUACAACAGAUGAUGACCCAGAUGCCCAGUCCUCCACCUGAAGAGUUGGUCAAACAAUGGGAAAGUGAACAGAAGCGACUCAGGCAGCAGGUGGUGGAGGAAGACAUUGAGGACUGGCAGAGGAGCCCAGACUUCUCCGGCCUGGAGCGGGUCGGUGGCGUGGACCUCUCCUUUAUCAAAGGGGAUGAAGUCAGCGCCUGCGCCCAGCUGGUGGUGCUCAGUUACCCUGAUUUGAAGAUUCUGUAUGAAGACAGUCACAUGGUGACCCUGACGGCCCCCUAUGUCUCUGGCUUCCUGGCCUUCAGGGAAACCCCUUUCCUCCUGGAGGCACUGCAGCGACUGAAGAUCAGCCAGCCUACACUUAUGCCUCAGGUGGUGUUUGUGGAUGGGAAUGGUCUUUUCCACUACAGAGAGUUCGGCUUGGCGUGUCAUCUUGGGGUGCUGUCAGGUCUUCCCUGUGUGGGCGUGGCUAAGAACCUGCUGCAGGUGCAGGGGGUGCUUAAAGACGAGGAGCACCAAUCACAAAUUGCUGCUCUGCAAAAAGGAGGAGACAGCUUCCCACUCACCGCCGCCUCGGGCAAAGUGCUCGGAAAGGCGCUGAGAAGCUGCGAUAAGAGCUUCAAGCCUGUGUACGUCUCUGUGGGUCACAAAAUCAGCCUGGGCACCGCUGUCCGCCUGACACACUCAUGCUGCCGCUACCGGGUACCUGAGCCCAUCAGACAGGCUGACGUUCGCUCCAGAGAAUACCUACGGAUACACUUCCCAGCUACCGAUACAUGAAUUAGACACUGAGGUUGCGGAUGCUGCACUGGAGAAUCUGAAGAUAAAGAGCCUCGGUCUCUGAAGACCCCUUAAAGGUCCAUCUAUAAGCCACGUCUGGUCUGCCGCUCUAAUUAGCCGUGACACUUUCCUGGACGGGGGACAUCGGCUUGGUGCAAUCUGCUGGGUUUCCUAAGGUUGAAAACUUUUUGAUCAUUUUGAAUGAAGAAAAGAAACUGGUGCACUGUUUAAUUACUAGGAUUAAUUGGACUGUAUGUAUGAUGGAAAGGGGUUCGAAGAAUAUUGAGACUAUUGUACUCAUUAGUAUCAUAUCAGAUCUGAUGAAACAAUAAAAAACAAAAUCUUGUUUGAUUUAUUGAUUGCAAACAGCUGCUUGUUUUUACAUUUUGCCCCGUCUGUAAAGGGGUUUGAAUACUUUUAGGUGCAGCUCCAUCUCUACAUUUUCUCUGACAAUUAGUUUUUUUUAAACGGAAGGAAGAUAGCACCUUAACGUCAUGUUCUAUCUCAGUGAAAAACAUGCAUGCAGACAUGAAUACAAUGACGACAAAGUUAGCCUGAAGUCUCCUCUGCUGAAUGUCCAAGCACACAACAUGAGUCCUUUACUUGUUCUUUGGGUUUGACGUAUUUUGUAAAAAAAAAAAAAAAAAAACAUUUUGUGGACUACGCAAGUCGACACGCUGUCACAGUUAUUCUGUCGUACAGAAUCACAGGGAAUUAGAACAUAUUCAUGCUUUUCUCUUUUUGGUGAUCCAAAGCAAUCUCCAAUUCUCUCAAGUGAAUGACGUGCAAGAGAGAGAAAAGAUAAAGUGCCUUCAGUUCCCAUCAUCCUGGGGGCUCCAUCCGGCUCAUUUCUCACCACUUGGUUUAGCCAUCAAACAGCGUUUUAUGUGGUCCCCAGCUCCUCGUGAUCUCAGCGUCUGCAGCCAUCAAAUAUUAGCCGACUGUGUUUCUUACGGGAGCGUCUAGGCUACUCCUAAGCCUUGAGGUGGAUCUCAUCUGGAUGGAGAUUAAAAAAAGAAACUGAGCGGGGAGAACACACCUCCUGCUUUUGGUGGCUUGCUAAUUGACAGUGUGCACUUUGAUGCAUUUGGGACAUUGUGUUCCUGCGCAAAACUGCCUCUGUGUGUGUUUCUGUGUGUAGCCUGCAGUUGUUGACCAGCUGAUGCAUGCAUGCAGGAAUCAUACUCUAGUGACUGUUUCAUCUACAUCUGGCCAGCUGUGUCCUCUCCGUGGCUGUCCCCUGACGGUGUCCUCCUUCACCUCUGCAGAACUGCUGCACUGUUCACUGUGUGCACAUGCAAGACAAAUAUUAGAGCCGAAAGGCCCCUGAAUGUCGCCAUACAAUGAAAAGGAUGGUAUAUUUUUCAAAUUGGAUUUUCUUUCUACUCCUCUAAGAACAUAAUUAGUGAGCUAUGUCUGUCAUGAAUAAGCCAGAUGUGAAGCAGUUUUUUGUUUUUCAUUUUUCUUUCAUUUGAAAUUAUACAUAUUUCACAUGGAGAAAAUUCAGGUCACUUCAAAGAAUAGUCCAUAAAAUUGUCAAAGAAAAAGAACAUUGGCUCCAAUACGCCAAGGCUCUCAUUGAGUUUCUCCUGCUUUCUUUAACUUCAUUGAGUUGUGCCUUCAAAAGCCACAAUAUUAAAGGGUUAACUGUAACUCUAUUGUGAAAAUAUACAUCACAAUUUAUUUAGACAAGAUUACAUUUAUUGGGCACUGAGGCUCACUUUUGGACUCUGUUGUGAAUGAGUCGCUCUUGGAGUCAUUUUGGUAGACUGGCCACUUCUGGGAAGGGUUCUGUAAUUAAGCCAGGUAGUUUGGAGUCAUUUUUCACUCAAUAAAUAUAAUAAUUAUUUUACAACCACAGUCUUUAUUUACUCUUGUUUUCUUUGUUAUUAAAAUUUUAUGUCCUGAAUCAUCAAAUCAUUUCACAGAGACAUGAAAUGAUUGUCUAUUCAUGUUCUCACGUUUUCAUGAGGGACUUUUUUCUAUGACUCUGAAACAAGUUUCCCUUUGUGACUGUGGGACACUCACAUGAACUCUCUAAGCAGCUAAGGCCUAACCAUAAAGUUACCUUGUUGGCAUCUCUCAGUUUACAACAAAAUGUUGCCACAGCAGCCUUCAGGUGUUUCAUUGCGAUCAUAUCACGGCGCCUCAGCUGUUUUCAGAAUAUUUAUUCUCACUUUACCGGUUUGCAUUUUUUUUCAUCUCCUGUCUCCAGAUCGGAAUAAACCCCGGUCUUCUCCUUCUGUUUUCAUUUUGAAAUCUCCUCUCUGUUGGCUUUGUCGCUCCGAGCUCUGCGGCCGCACGCCUUCUGCUCAGCUUUAACUCGCCGCUGAAUCAUUGCUUCAAUUCUUUUCUCUUUUACAGUUUCUCUCCGUCAUCUCCGAGCAAUCAGUCCCAAGCUACUCAUCCAAGACAAAAAGUUACCGCAUCUCUCUCUUUCUCUCUCUCUGUCUCUCUCUCUCUCUUUCGCUUCUUUAUGUAAUUCCAACUAUUUUUUGAAAAAUUAUAUAAUAUUUUUCCAGCAAAACAAUAUCUUUGCCAGUGAGCCUUAUAGCAGAGCUGAGUCAUGUUGAGUCGAACAGUCAUCCUGGCUGGCGAGCUGUAAUGUGCUGGGUAUUAUCAUUAGGGCAUACGUCAAACACUUUGUCUGCGCUGGCAGGGUGGUGAGCUCUCUUGGCUCUCACUGCAGCACCUUGAUUUAAGCUUGCAGUCAGCAGUUAACAAAGCUAAUUCAGCAGCGGAGAUUUUGCACUCCUUUCCCUUAUUUGUGCCGUUGUACCCUGUAAAUACAACAGAUGUCUCAUAUCCUAGUUACAUUUGCAGCCAUACAGUUUAUCACAACACCUUAUGUCGGUUUUGGAGGCUCAAACCAGGCUUGAUUUUUGUGUGUGUGUGUGUGUGUGUGUGUGUGUGUGUGCUAUCAGAUCCAAAGAUGGUUGCAAUUCGCAGAACAAAGCGUGUUCGUGUUAAAAUAUGUUCAGAGAUUUAUAAACCUUUUGUGAUUCGUGUUUCGGUAUGUUCGCCACUAAACUAGAAAAGACAACCAAACGUACAAGAACUAAAGAGCGUUUUCAGUCAUAAAUCACUGCUGCAUGCAGUGCUGCUUUGAGGUUAAGCCUGAAUUUUUCUUUUCAUAUUGAGCAACUGAAGUCGACUGCUUAUGGAGUUUAAUAUGCAUAGGGGAUCCUUAUCCCGCUGCAGAAGAUGUCCCAGUCUUUUUACAGAUGGUGUGCUGUUUGCCUCCAUAAUUUGUUGCUUUUAAAUUGAAUCUCUCCUUACCUCUGCCAGAGGAAUGUUCUCUGUGUCACAGGCUCCAAAACAAAUUCAAAGCAAGAUGGAUCCACCUCCAUAGCAGUUGGUGAUUUUUUCUUCAUCUCCCGAAUGCAAAUUCUGCUGAAAAAGUUUAUUUCAACUUCGGCUCAGUUUGGUUCUUCUGUCAUUACGAUGCGUUGCCAUUUUAUCCCUUCCUACAAUGAUUUUGCACAUGUAAGCAAACUAUUUCCUACCAAUUCACUUAAUAAUGAUUUUAAUGAUCUGGAUAAACCAUCAAAUAGACAAGUCGCACAUUUAAUUCAACUACUUUUCUCUAGACUUUAGGUACAAAACUUGACAACCUCAUUCUUUGAGCAAUACUGAUCUAGCUUGAUAUGUAAAAGUUCAGGGGGUGUGAAUACUUUUGGAAGGCUCUAUAUGUUUUUUUGAACCCUUUUUCCAAUCUAUAUGUGAACUCUUCAAAGGAGGAAGCUGAGGGAGGAGCGAACUUCAUUUACUGGUACAAAAGACAAGAUAAAUGUGUUCUUGAAGCAGGGAGGCUGGCACUGAAAUAAGAAUACACAAAACAAAACAAGAUGCCAAAUGGGAACAAAAACGAAGCAAAACAGGGACCAAGCCACAUCUAAUGAAAGAACAAGCAUCCAACGAGAAAAAAGCUUCAGGGACUACAUAAACUCUGAGGGAGUAAAUAACUGAAAACAAAGCCGGUGCAGUGGGAGCACCGAAAAUACAACUAACAGCAACAGACCAUAAGAAAAAAAAAAAACACAACAAUGCAUACAUUUAGACCACAAAGCAACUAUACAA